CCUACGGGAGGCAGCAGUGAGGAAUAUUGGGCAAUGGACGCAAGUCUGAACCAGCCAUGCCGCGUGCAGGAAGACGGCUCUAUGAGUUUUAAACUGCUUUUUUACGAGGGUAAACGCAGAUACUCGUAUCUGUCUGAAAGUAGCGUACGAAUAAGGAUCGGCUAACUACGUGACAGCAGCCGCGGUAAUACGGAGGAUUCAAGCGUUAUCCGGAGUUAUUGGGUGUAAAGGUUGUGUAGGCGGUCGGAUAAGUUAGAGGUGAAAUCCCGGGGCUCAACUGCGGAAUUGCGUCUGAUACUGUUCGGCUAGAGAGUAGUAGCGGUAGGCGGAAUGUAUGGUGUAGCGGUGAAAUGCUUAGAGAUAA
rnacentral:rRNA from 1 species